rnacentral:rRNA from 1 species
AUUGAACGCUGGCGGCAUGCUUUACACGUGCAAGUCGAACGGUAACAGGGAGCUUGCUCCGCUGACGAGUGGCGAACGGGUGAGUAAUGCGUCGGAACGUGCCGAGUAGUGGGGGAUAACGCAGCGAAAGUUGUGCUAAUACCGCAUACGUACUGAGGUAGAAAGUGGGGGACCUUCGGGCCUCACGCUAUUCGAGCGGCCGACGUCUGAUUAGCUAGUAGGUGAGGUAAAGGCUCACCUAGGCGACGAUCAGUAGCGGGUCUGAGAGGAUGAGCCGCCACACGGGGACUGAGACACGGCCCAGACUCCUACGGGAGGCAGCAGUGGGGAAUUUUGGACAAUGGGCGAAAGCCUGAUCCAGCCAUGCCGCGUGUCUGAAGAAGGCCUUCGGGUUGUAAAGGACUUUUGUCGGGGAGGAAAUCCCCAGCGCUAAUACCGCUGGGGGAUGACAGUACCUGAAGAAUAAGCACCGGCUAACUACGUGCCAGCAGCCGCCGUAA